rnacentral:rRNA from 1 species
UUAAUUGAAGAGUUUGAUCAUGGCUCAGAUUGAACGCUGGCGGCAGGCCUAACACAUGCAAGUCGAGCGGCAGCACAAGGGAGUUUACUCCUGAGGUGGCGAGCGGCGGACGGGUGAGUAAUGCCUAGGGAUCUGCCCAGUCGAGGGGG